rnacentral:siRNA from 1 species
GGCACCCAUGUGACUUCGGCUUC